rnacentral:rRNA from 1 species
GCAGGUCAGCAUACUGCCGUGAAUACGUUCCCGGGCCUUGUACACACCGCCCGUCACACCAUGAGAGUUGGGAAUACCCGAAGCCUGUGAGCUAACUUAUAGAGGCAGCAGUCGAAGGUAGAAUCAAUGAUUGGGGUGAAGUCGUAACAAGGUACC